rnacentral:lncRNA from 1 species
CUCCUCCUGGUCCGGCUGCCCCGGCUCCUCCCGCCGCCGCCCUGGGCCCAGCCCCGCCCGGUCCGCGGCUCCCGCGCCCCCGACCGCCGCCGAGCGCCGCACGCAGACAAUAGCGGCCGCCGGGGCCGCGGGGUACACGGGGCCCGCCCCCAAGAAGUUCUUCUUCCGAGGGUCGCCCGGGCCCCUUUCGGGAGCCGGAGUCCCGUCCGGGCGGCUGGUGACUGUCGCCCGGCUCGGCCCAAGGAGCCACUGAAGAUCAGCACCUGGAAUCCAGAACCUCCUUCCGCAGCUGGCUCCCCUGACCAUGGGCAGAGCGCUUCGAAUCUCUGAACAUCAGGAGUUCCCGUCGUGGCUCAGUGGUUAACGACUCCGACUAGGAACCGUAAGGUUGCGAGUUCGAUCCCUAGCUUCGCUCAGUGGGUUAAGGAUCCAGCAUUGCUGUGAGCUGUGGUGUAGGCCUCAGACUCAGAUCCCGUGUUGCUGCACCUGUGGCCUAGGCUGGCAGCUAUGGCUCCCAUUAGACCCCUAGCCUAGAAACCUCCAUAUGCCUCUGGUGCGGCCCUGGAAAAGACACACACACACACACACACACACAAAAGGAAUCUCUGAACACCAGUUUUCUCCAUCUGUAAAGGGAAUAACUGCUUUCUGUCCAUCCUAGUAAGAUAAGAAAAAUUGUAACUAUAUGAGGUAAUGGAUAUUAAUUAAACUUUGUAAUUUUUUAGCAGUAUAUACAAGUAUCAAAUCAUUAUGUUAUACAGUUUAAACGAAUAAGAUGUUAUAUGCUGAUUACAUCUCAAUAAAAAGUGGGAGGAAGAAAAUUGCUGUUAAUCUUUUCUUUUUUUUUUUUUUUGGUUGACUUU